GACGAACGCUGGCGGCGUGCUUAACACAUGCAAGUCGAACGGAAAGGCCCUGCUUUUGUGGGGUGCUCGAGUGGCGAACGGGUGAGUAGCACGUGAGUAACCUGCCCUUGACUUUGGGAUAACUUCAGGAAACUGGGGCUAAUACCGGAUAGGAGCUCCUGCUGCAUGGUGGGGGUUGGAAAGUUUCGGCGGUUGGGGAUGGACUCGCGGCUUAUCAGCUUGUUGGUGGGGUAGUGGCUUACCAAGGCUUUGACGGGUAGCCGGCCUGAGAGGGUGACCGGACACAUUGGGCCUGAGAUACGGACCAGAGUCCUACGGGAGGCAGCAGUGGGGAAUAUUGCACAAUGGGCGGAAGCCUGAUGCAGCAACGCCGCGUGCGGGAUGACGGCCUUCGGGUUGUAAACCGCUUUCGCCUGUGACGAAGCGUGAGUGACGGUAAUGGGUAAAGAAGCACCGGCUAACUACGUG
rnacentral:rRNA from 1 species